CGUUUUUUAGUUAACCUUGAAUAUAUGAAAUAGUUGGUUCAUUGUUAAAUGUUCUUAGCCAGUCCCUUAGGUGAAGGAUGUAGAUUAUUUCGAUCUUUAUAUUAUCUUUAUAUCGAUCUUUAUAUUAAUGGGGUUUUUGGUUUUACAUAACCAAACAUUUUUGAAGUCCUCAAAUUAAUAUUGGAAAUAAUUACCAUUUCUCUGUACGUUUUAAACCGAUUGAACAUCCAAUAUAUCUAUAAAUUUUCAUGUCCAAUAUAUCUAUAAAUUGUCAUGUAACUAUCUUUGUCUGGUUCAAUACCAUUUCAUUAAGGUAUAUAAAAUGUAUGUAGAUGGCUAUUACUAUCUUAAUCUCAUGUUAUUUCAGAUAAGUCAUAUUUUAUAUUCCUAUUUCAAAUGCAAUGCCAUUAUUUGUUCAUGUUUUCAAACUCAAAAUAGUUCAAGGUUACCUGAGAUUAGUUUUUGUUCCAUUUUUAAUGGUUGUUUUUUUAUGUUAUUGCUUCUAAAAAGUUUUCCUCGAUUAUUUCUUCUUCUCUUUACUUUUGUUUACCGGUUUAUAUGAGAAAUCAAACGAAGUAUAUGUUUUUAGCCAUUUGGAAGAAAACUAACCCUCAUGUGAUGUCGUACCCACCUUGACUACCUAGGGAAGCCACCUGGACCUUAUUGCAGCUACCGCCAAGUCAAACUGGGAGUAUGUUUUGGGAACAAGCUUUUUGGGGGACAUUCCAGCUCCUUUUCGUCCUGCCACCUGGGCCUACGGGGGGGGCAUGGAGGUGCAUCAUAGUGAUGCUCAUUUUCUAGGAUGCAACCGCAACCUCGUUUGGGAACAUUUAGUGAGGAGUUUUAGUAACUAUUGGUUUUUUUUAUAUUUCAGACUAUCUGUUAAAUACACUAUGUUUUUUUUCCAGAUUUAGGUUACCUCUGUUUUUUUUUGACAUAUGUAUUUGUAUAUUAGAUGAUUUGGUUCCCAAACUUUGUAUCUACGGUAACUUCUUGUGCACAGGAAUAAGCCUAGAGAAAAUUAGGUUUUUAAUACUUUAUUAUUGCUUUGAUAUUGGUUUAUGUAAUUCGGGUAAAUUUAUUUUGUAACAUUACUUGCUUGUUUCCCAAAUAUUGUAUUUAUUCGCUUUAUUUCGUUUGUUCGGUUACUUCGUCGUUACUUUAUUUCAUUGCAUUUGCUCGGUUAAUUUAGGUCAUUUUGUCGGUAUUUUUCUUAACUUCACUUCUAUAACGUUUAUUCAUUUGUAUAUUUAAUUUUGCUUUAUUCAGUAUUGUAUUUUCUCUUAGUGAGGCUUGGGCCUAUUUAUUUGUAUUAUUUUCAUCUUCGUCGGUUUCCUUUAGUUGUACGUAGCGGGCGUACUAUAACCAUUUGGUAGAAGACUUAUGUAAUUUUGUACCCUAUAUGUUAGUAAGAGGUACUUAUAUUUAAGUUUGUAACAGAUAACAUUAUUGUUGUUAUCUUUAAAAUAUAUAUAUCUUCUUGUAUAACUUAUGUCAUUUUAGAGUCACAGCAUAAUAUGAACUUGCUUAACUCAGAGAUUGUUAAAAAUCUGGUAGUUAUUUUUAAUAAAUAUGUUUAUUUAUUUUGUAUAUCAUUUAUUUUUAUUAUUCCUUUAUGUUCAUUAUUACAGGUUUGAUAUAUUUAAUAUCUGACAGCAGUAUAAGAUACCUGGGAGAAUGAUCGAAGAUCAUUUUCAUGGCGCCCAUGAUUAGUUAGUUUUAUUUAUUUUGUUCGUUUUUAGUCAUUAUUCAUCUCCUUCCUUUUCAGUACCUUAUUCUUAUUUUAUUAUUUCAUCUUCUAGUCAUCAUUACUAUCUAUAUAGAGCUACUGUUCUUCGACAGGCAUGCAAACGAGCCGUAUCCAUCCUUGAGUGUCAAGUUGCUCUCUUGCAUCUAUAGCUAGCCAACUCUAUUCAGUUUGCCUCUGUCUCUUCCCACGUCUACUUAUUAUCCCUUCUAAUUCCCCUUUCUUCAGUACUACUGCAAAGUAGUAUUUUUUAUUUUUCCUACUUCGGCUCAACCGCUGAAGCCCCUUCAUUUUUAUUUUCAUAAGAGGCCCCAACUAGUUACCUUAGUCUUUUCUUUUCUUCUUUUUUUUUCCUUACUUCUGUUGGAGUAUAUCUUUCUUUUUACUUUCACUCCAACAGAAGUUUUCUUAUUUUUGUUACACUGGCUGCCCAAUGCGUGGUGCCAACCGUUUUAUGGUUCUAAGACAGUAGUUCUUUUAGUUCAAUUUUCUUUUAUUGGAAUUUUCUGUUUUAUUAACUUUUUGAUAUCUUUGUAUAUAUGUUAUUUCUGAUUUAUUUUUGUCUUUAAUUUUUACGAAUACUAAACAGGUAGACUUAUGCUGCUUUUGGUUUUGAUUAGUUUAUUUCGAUACCUCAUUUUUAGUUUUAGUGGUACAGCUCAUAUUUUAGUUUGAAUUUUGUAUUUUUAUUGGAAACUUAUUUGUGUAUUUAGAAUGAGUAUACAUGACUGACAUUAUGUUCUAUUAUUAUGGAUUUUUAGUCCUUCUACCAAUGGUAGUAUGUUUGCACGUACAAUUAAUUAUUGACUAUAUGCAUACAUUUUUUUCUAGUAUGGUUAUAUUUUAUACAUAACUAGAAAUCAUUUUCAGUAUUUAGGUAUUUUAUUUACUUUAUUGAUUUGAUUAUUUAUAUAUUUUGCUGGCAUUUUGAUUUGUUGGUGUGUCGCUAAUAUUUUCUCCAUAUGUAUCUUUGUCUUACAAACUUUAGAUUAUAUUUUAUAUUUGUUAUUUUUGAUAUUUGGGUUGUUUGGUAAGACAGGCACACACCACAAAGCAAUAUCAGUCCAGACAUUAGUUUCUAUACAUGAUACGUUGAAUUCGCAUGGUUCGGAUGGUUACAGAUGGUCAUCCAAACUAUUUUUCUUUAAUUGGUAGUGUUAAAUAUAACAAUUAUAAUUAUUGUAUAGUAAAGUAGUUCCAUUAUCCAUCUCAGUUUCUAGUUUUAUUAUUGUUGAUAAUAAUAUUAUAUCAAUGUGGGUACCAUAAUAUAAUGCUCAUAGAAAUCAGAUACUUUAGGUUGAGAUUUAAAUAUAAAUUCUUUAUUAGUUAGGAAACAUUGAUACUAUUUUCCUACUAAGUUAUAGAACAGUCUUCAGAAGAAGAUUACCUUAACAGUGUUGUUCAAGCUAAUCUCUUCUUCUGUUUGUCUUUAGCUUAGCUCAAUCUUUAGUAUGGUUAGAAAUUUUAGUCUGAUAUUUUUUUUGUCAUCUGAUAAUGCAGGUACCUACAUACAUUGCUUGAUUUCAUCUUUGGCUUUGUUGUUGAUGACUUUUAAUUUAUUACUUAUUAAUUUAAUUAUUAUGUAGUACUUUAUGUAUGAGUUUAACUUUUUUUUUGGUAUUAGGCAUGGUGCAUUGUAAUUAUUAUUAUGAGUCAAUGUUAUUAAUUGCUAAUCCUGUCAGUAGGAUUAUACAAUUAAUCAGAACUUCACUUGUAUUUUUGUUUAGUUUUUGCACACCUAACCCCUUAAGUUAGAAGGGUUGUUGAAUUAUUAUAUAUUUAUAUACUUAUUUGGACAGGUAAGCUCAUACAAGUAGGUACUCUUGUUUAAUAUGGAUAUUAUUAUGGAACUGUAUGUUAUGCACUACUUAUCUCAGGUUAUGUGUUAUAUUAUUUGGAAUAUUUGAUUAUUUACUAAUUUUUUUUUGAUCAUAUUUAUAUCUUAUUAUUGAAUUUGCCAUAUUGGAAAGAUGUGGUUUUUAAUUUGUUAUUGGGUUACUCUAUUAACAUUAUUUGUCUCCAAUAUCUUAAACACUUUAUAAUAAUUUAUAUCCUUCUAUCCUACACAGUAUGAUUCUGGAAUUAGUUUGGAAUUUUGAUGUAAGUAUGUAUGAAUUCUUGAGUCUUUCAUAUUUCUGCUUAGAAACUACUUAGUCUGUUGAUGCUCAAAGUUGGUGAAUACGUGGGUUCGAAAUUCAGCAACUGAUCACUGCUGUCCGGUUUUGUAAUCUAUGUCCUCAUGGCAGAGUAGGCAGAUGUCUUUUCAUCAUUACAUUUCCUAAACAUUUUUCUGUAAUCAGUUUACUUAUUUCAGUUUUUUUACAAUUUAAUAGGGAAGUAUUUAGUUCAUAUUAGGCCUUUUGCUUCAUAGUAUGUUUGUACUUUGAGUUGAUGAGUAAACAUGGAUAAAUAUCUUGCGCACUUGUUUAUAAAUCAAUGCUUAGGCCAUCCCUAUACAUAGUAGGUUCGUUAAGUCAGUAUUUGGAGUGUUUAGACAGAUGAGUUGUUCAUUUGAAUAUAUUCCCACUUCUUUUCGUAGGCAUUAGUUUUGUUAUUCAGAUUCUGGAAUACUUUAGUCAAUACACUUUAGGUAUUUAUCUUACCUUUGAUUUAGUUUGGUUACAUCUCUGUUACUUAGUCUGUUAGUAAUUUUUUUCUGACUUAUUUUGGAUUACUUAGUUCAGAUAGGUUCAUAUUACCGGAUGAGGGUGUAUGUAGACCUAAUUUAUUUAUUUUGUUCAGUAUUAGUUACCAUUGGAUCCAAUAAUUUAGUUUAUUUAGUAUUAGUAAGAAUUGGUCCAUAAAUUUGCCUGAUCGUUCUUCUUUGGAUAUACUCCUAUAUAAAUCUGGUGUCCAUUGAUAGUCCGAUUCUGGAUAAGUGUCCGAUUCUUCAUUUAUUUUGUGUAUUUAGUUGGAUAGGUUCGUAUUACCGGAUGUGGGUGUACGUAGACCUGAUCUGUUAUGUGGUUUAGUAUUGGUGUGAAUUGGUCCAUAAAUUUGCCUGGUCGUUCUUCUUUGGAUAUGCCUUUUAUGAAUCUGGUGUCCACUGAUAGUUCGACUUUGGAUUAAGUGUCCGAUUCCACAUUUAUUUUGGUUAUUGAGUUUUGGAUUCCUUUGGUAUGUUUAUUAUUGGUAUUAUUUGACAUUAGUGAGAAUUGUUCCAUAAAUCUUCCUGAUUGUUCUUCUCUGGAUAUACUAUUAUGAAUCUGGUGUCCAUUGUUAGUUCAGUUUUGGAUAAAGUGUUCAAUUCUUUACCUAUUUUAGUUACUGAUUUUUUUUAUUCACUUUGGUACAUUUACUUUUGAUAUGGUUCGAAUUGGCUCACACCUUUUCCUGGUUGUUCCGUUCUUGGAUAUACCCUUUAUAAAUCUGAUGUCCAUGGAUAGUUCAAUUUUGGUUUUAGUGCCCAAUUCGACACUCAGUUAUUAUUAUGAACUUAAGUACAAUAUUUAGUUUUGUUUUGACUUUUGAGCAAUAUAUGUUAAUAUUUGGUAGCAGAGAGUAACAUAGUAACAUUUUAGUAUGAGUUUGAGUCAUGUAUUGAUUUAUUUUUCCUUGACCAUUAGUUUAUAUUUAGAAGUAAUCUUGCGAAUCAACGUGGAUUGUUAGACUAUUGUAAAUUUAGUUGUUAAUAUUUUGAAGUUAAAAAAAAAAAAAAAAUUUUUUUUUGGUUAAAAAAUUUUUUUUCCCGAGUAGGAGGGGAUUGUAACGGUCCACCCGUUAUAUUAUCAUUUUUAGCGCUGUAAUUAUUUUUAAAAAAAUAAUUAUUUUCUCUUGACCUCCCAUUUAAAUUCUUUAAUUUAUCGUAAAGGACUUCUCAUGUGACGUCACACUGUACGGAACAUAGUUGUUGAACCGUUCCUUGUCGUUUAAUUCGUGUUCCGUGAGAGUUUGACGUUUUCCUCGCUGACUGUGGGAGGAAUGAGAGGGACUUGGCCGGUGGCUGCGAGGUUGACAGGUUGGUGUUGGUGGUUAGUACCGUAAAUGGCGGUUAAUUUCUUCGAAAUUAAUUUUUAUUUCAACUAAGUUUGGAAGUAUAGUAAAAAGUUACCACCACUUGUUUCCUGGAGUACGGGUUUCCUGGAGUAAGGAUGGGAGUACCAUCAGUGGAAGAGGAAUAAAAAAUUAACCGCCAUUUGGAAGAAAACUAACCCUCAUGUGAUGUCGUACCCACCUUGACUACCUAGGGAAGCCACCUGGACCUUAUUGCAGCUACCGCCAAGUCAAACUGGGAGUAUGUUUUGGGAACAAGCUUUUUGGGGGACAUUCCAGCUCCUUUUCGUCCUGCCACCUGGGCCUACGGGGGGGGCAUGGAGGUGCAUCAUAGUGAUGCUCAUUUUCUAGGAUGCAACCGCAACCUCGUUUGGGAACAUUUAGUGAGGAGUUUUAGUAACUAUUGGUUUUUUUUAUAUUUCAGACUAUCUGUUAAAUACACUAUGUUUUUUUUCCAGAUUUAGGUUACCUCUGUUUUUUUUUGACAUAUGUAUUUGUAUAUUAGAUGAUUUGGUUCCCAAACUUUGUAUCUACGGUAACUUCUUGUGCACAGGAAUAAGCCUAGAGAAAAUUAGGUUUUUAAUACUUUAUUAUUGCUUUGAUAUUGGUUUAUGUAAUUCGGGUAAAUUUAUUUUGUAACAUUACUUGCUUGUUUCCCAAAUAUUGUAUUUAUUCGCUUUAUUUCGUUUGUUCGGUUACUUCGUCGUUACUUUAUUUCAUUGCAUUUGCUCGGUUAAUUUAGGUCAUUUUGUCGGUAUUUUUCUUAACUUCACUUCUAUAACGUUUAUUCAUUUGUAUAUUUAAUUUUGCUUUAUUCAGUAUUGUAUUUUCUCUUAGUGAGGCUUGGGCCUAUUUAUUUGUAUUAUUUUCAUCUUCGUCGGUUUCCUUUAGUUGUACGUAGCGGGCGUACUAUAACCAUUUGGUAGAAGACUUAUGUAAUUUUGUACCCUAUAUGUUAGUAAGAGGUACUUAUAUUUAAGUUUGUAACAGAUAACAUUAUUGUUGUUAUCUUUAAAAUAUAUAUAUCUUCUUGUAUAACUUAUGUCAUUUUAGAGUCACAGCAUAAUAUGAACUUGCUUAACUCAGAGAUUGUUAAAAAUCUGGUAGUUAUUUUUAAUAAAUAUGUUUAUUUAUUUUGUA